GGUUUCGUAGCUCAGUGGGAGAGCGCCUCGGUGACAUCGAGGAGGCCGCUGGUUCGAUCCCAGCCGAGACCA
rnacentral:tRNA from 1 species